rnacentral:rRNA from 1 species
GUGCCAGCAGCCGCGGUAAUACAUAGGGGGCAAGCGUUAUCCGGAAUUAUUGGGUGUAAAGGGUGCGUAGACGGGAGAACAAGUUAGUUGUGAAAUCCCUCGGCUUAACUGAGGAACUGCAACUGAAACUAUUUUUCUUGAGUGUCGGAGGGGAAAGUGGAAUUCCUAGUGUAGCGGUGAAAUGCGUAGAUAUUAGGAGGAACACCGGUGGCGAAGGCGACUUUCUGGACGAUAACUGACGUUGAGGCACGAAAGUGUGGGGAGCAAACAGGAUUAGAUACCCUGGUAGUCCACACUGUAAACGAUGGAUACUAGGUGUAGGAUGUAUUAAACAUUCUGUGCCGCCGCUAACGCAUUAAGUAUCCCACCUGGGGAGUACGACCGCAAGGUUGAAACUCAAAGGAAUUGACGGGGGCCCGCACAAGCAGUGGAGUAUGUGGUUUAAUUCGAAGCAACGCGAAGAACCUUACCAGGGCUUGACAUAUACAGGAAUAUACAAGAGAUUGUAUAGCUCUUCGGAGUCUGUAUACAGGUGGUGCAUGGUUGUCGUCAGCUCGUGUCGUGAGAUGUUGGGUUAAGUCCCGCAACGAGCGCAACCCCUAUUGCUAGUUGCCAGCGCGUAAAGGCGGGAACUCUAGCGAGACUGCCGGUGAUAAAUCGGAGGAAGGUGGGGAUGACGUCAAAUCAUCAUGCCCUUUAUGUCCUGGGCUACACACGUACUACAAUGGCCGUAACAGAGGGAAGCAAAAUAGUGAUAUGGAGCAAAACCCUAAAAGCGGUCUCAGUUCGGAUUGAAGGCUGAAAUUCGCCUUCAUGAAGCUGGAAUUGCUAGUAAUGGCAGGUCAGCAUACUGCCGUGAAUACGUUCCCGGGCCUUGUACACACCGCCCGU